rnacentral:rRNA from 1 species
CAAGUCGAACGAUUAAAGCUCCCUUCGGGGAGUGCAUAAAGUGGCGCACGGGUGAGUAACACGUAAGUAAUCUACCUUCGAGUGGGGAAUAACCCGGGGAAACCCGAGCUAAUACCGCAUAACGCAGCGGCAUCGCAAGAUGACAGUUGUUAAAGGAGCAAUCCGCUUGAAGAGGAGCUUGCGGCAGAUUAGCUAGUUGGUAAGGUAAUGGCUUACCAAGGCUACGAUCUGUAUCCGGUCUAAGAGGACGGUCGGACACACUGACACUGAAUAACGGGUCAGACUCCUACGGGAGGCAGCAGUCGGGAAUUUUGGGCAAUGGGGGAAACCCUGACCCAGCAACGCCGCGUGAAGGAUGAAGUAUUUCGGUAUGUAAACUUCGAAAGAAUGGGAAGAAUAAAUGACGGUACCAUUUAUAAGCUCCGGCUAACUACGUGCCAGCAGCCGCGGUAAUACGUAGGGAGCAAGCGUUGUUCGGAUUUACUGGGCGUAAAGGGCGCGUAGGCGGCGCGGUAAGUCACUUGUGAAAUCUCUGAGCUUAACUCAGAACGGCCAAGUGAUACUGCAGUGCUAGAGUGCAGAAAGGGCAAUCGGAAUUCUUGGUGUAGCGGUGAAAUGCGUAGAUAUCAAGAGGAACACCUGAGGCGAAGGCGGGUUGCUAGGCUGACACUGACGCUGAGGCGCGAAAGCCAGGGGAGCAAACGGGAUUAGAUACCCCGGUAGUCCUGGCCCUAAACGAUGAAUACUUGGUGUCUGGAGUUCUAAUACUCCGGGUGCCGUCGCUAACGUUUUUAGUAUUCC